CAUGCAAGUCGAACGGUAACAGCGGAGAUGAUCCUUUCGGGGUGAAUUUCCGGCUGACGAGUGGCGGACGGGUGAGUAAUGCAUAGGAAUCUGCCCUUUAGUGGGGGAUAACCCGGGGAAACCCGGGCUAAUACCGCAUAAGUCCUACGGGAGAAAGCGGGGGAUCUUCGGACCUCGCGCUGAAGGAUGAGCCUAUGUCUGAUUAGCUUGUUGGUGGGGUAAAAGCCUACCAAGGCGACGAUCAGUAGCUGGUCUGAGAGGACGGACAGCCACACUGGGACUGAGACACGGCCCAGACUCCUACGGGAGGCAGCAGUGGGGAAUAUUGGACAAUGGGCGCAAGCCUGAUCCAGCAAUGCCGCGUGUGUGAAGAAGGCCUGCGGGUCGUAAAGCUCUUUCAGCGAGGAAGAAAAUCCAUGGGUUAAUACCCCGUGGCCUUGACGUUACUCGCACAAGAAUGCACCGGCUAACUUCGUGCCAGCAGCCGCGGUAAUACGGGGGGUGCAAGCGUUAAUCGGAAUUACUGGGCGUAAAGCGCACGUAGGCGGCUCGCUAAGUUGGAUGUGAAAGCCCUGGGCUUAACCUGGGAAUGGCAUUCAA
rnacentral:rRNA from 1 species